AGUGAACGCUGGCGGUAUGCCUAACACAUGCAAGUCGAACGGCAGCACAGUAAGAUCUUGCUCUUACGGGUGGCGAGUGGCGGACGGGUGAGGAAUACAUCGGAAUCUACUUUUUCUUGGGGGAUAACGUAGGGAAACUUACGCUAAUACCGCAUACGACCUACGGGUGAAAGCAGUGGAUCUUCGGACCUUGCGCGAUUGAAUGAGCCGAUGUCGGAUUAGCUAGUUGGCGGGGUAAGGGCCCACCAAGGCGACGAUCCGUAGCUGGUCUGAGAGGAUGAUCAGCCACACUGGAACUGAGACACGGUCCAGACUCCUACGGGAGGCAGCAGUGGGGAAUCUUCGACAAUGGGCGAAAGCCUGACCCAGCAAUGCCGCGUGGGUGAUGAAGGCCUUCGGGUUGUAAAGCCCUGUUGUUGGGAAAGAAAAGCAGCAGGUUAAUCCACCGCUGUUCUGACGGUACCCAAAGAAUAAGCACCGGCUAACUUCGUG
rnacentral:rRNA from 1 species